AUUAUAUAUUCAUGUGAUUAUUUCAUUAUUAAUUACUUAUCAUAUUAUUAAUUGCUUAUCCUUUACUAAUUUCUUAUACUAUUAUUGGUUGCUUAUGCUGGAAUGAUCCAGAGUAUGCACACUUAUUAAAGUAUCAUAACUUGCCUUGUGCUACUCAAUAUUAUAUUCUGUAACUGUGUGAGUGGAGAUGUCUCCCUGUCUGUACCAUGGGCCUCCAAGGCCACGGCCAUUAACUGUGUGUUCUGGAUUAUCUUGUCUUGGUGCCUAAGAGCCUGCAGAACCAAAAACAUAAUACCUCAUGACGGAAGCUACCAUGGGGAUUAUCUUCCUAGAAACAGGGAGUUAAAACAAGAUAAGAGAUUAUUCUCAGACAUGCAAGUUAAAUGCACAGGCCCCUGCGUAUACGUCAUGCUGGAAUGUUUUGAGAACAUGCAUCUGCAUGACGUACCUUGAAGGGGGAGAUAUGAAUAAACAAUCUACAGUAAGGAGAAGAGCGGUGGAUUGUCUUUGAAUAUUGAUUAUCAGAAAUAUGAAUGAAUACUAAUGAAGGGGCGUACAUUUGUUGCGCUCUGUGCCUACAUAUAUCCAGACAAAGGUCCUGGAACCUUUGUCCUUGUUUUUGCAUGUAACUUGGACCCUAUGCGCAUAGUAAAGAUUGGAUUUUAUUUACUGUCUCUGUCUCUGAGUGUUUUCUUACAGGAAUAAAUUAAAAUUCCCACCACAUUGGGGGCUCGUCCGGGAUACCAAUAUCUCACCUGUACUCCCUGGAGAAUCAGCGCUGACUGCAAACCGUGCACGGGUCGUCUGCGAGACGAUAUAGCUAAAGACCUCAGCCGGAGCGAGUCAAGGCUCUUUGGGCUAGUAGGAGGCCAGUCGGGAGUUUCUCCAAAAGCCGGAGCGAGUCAAGGCUCUUUGGGCUAGGAGGCAGACGGAUUGCCAGCGGAGCUGCCACCAGGAGAGAUUAAGCCUGGAGAUUGGAUCCUGGUGCGAAGUGUCGGUAAAAAGACAAAGUGGAGUGAACCGACGUGGAAGGGUCCAUAUCAAGUGCUCCUGACCACACCUACUGCAGUGAGAAUCCAGGAGAGAGAGACGUGGAUACAUCAAUCACACUGUAAGGUAGUAUCGCCUCCAGUUGCUGGUGUGUAGGUGCAUCUCAAUAUUAUUAAAAGGUCAGGAUAGACUUGGAGAGAGUCCAGCUACAAAGGGGGGCGCAGCAUAUAGAGCUUGUCCGUCUCAAACCUGGUGAAGAACUUGUUUACUCUCCACAGUCAGUAGAGACUCCAGACCGGUUCCCAGAUAUGCCUCUCUCUGCCCUGUUUCUGUUGUUCAUAGGGACAUGCACGGUCAGUGAAGGUCAUACGCCAACCUCGCCUAAAGCUAAAAGAUAUCUAGGGGCGGAUGAUUACCUAUCUGAAUCAGGAAAUCCUGCACACAUAUAUGCUACUAAUUCAUGGUGAAGAUAUGCAAAUAGAUUAGCGCAUUCUGCAAACCGCACUGAAUGUUAUGUGUGCACAAUUGCCGGCCUCUAUAACUUCACCCAGGCUAGAGGUGAUACAGGCCGCAGGGCCUACGCGAAGUGUGAAUGAUACAGUAAAGUGGCUAUUGCGGCAUCCACUGCUCGUAGUACAUUAACAUCAAUGGAUCCCAGUACACCCCCACUCGACCUGAUAAUGGAUUUGGGUUAAAAUAUUGUACCGAUAAAGAUGGAUAUCUAAAAUUGGGGAAUAUGAGCUCUAAUAUUCCACUCAUGGUAGUCCAGUAUAAAUCGGGGCAAAAGUUUUGGCGUUGUGUCAAGGGAAAUGGCACUGGAUUUGUGGGAGUAACCCGAGGGGUGUCAGGGGAAACUACUGAUUUUCUGUGGAUAUCCGCUCAUAGACGGACAGUCCUUUUCCACCGGUAGAGAGAACAGUCCAAAUGCUAGAGAGAACAGUCUAAAUGGCACGCUAUGUAACCCAUCGGCACCGCAUUGGAAUGGGACGAGAGCUGUGGACAGUUGGUACUGGUUGUGUGGCAUCGGAUAUAUGUGGCAUUACCGCCAAACUGGGGAGGGGUAUGUGCUUAUAUACAACUGAUAGAUCACACGUACAUUGUGAGCGCGCAUGAGACCACGCGGGGGAGGCGAGACGCCAGUGCGCUUCAUUAUUCUAUCUGGGGCACCAAUGUCCCAGAUGACACAAAAUUGUGGACAACCGGACAGAAGGUAGCCCUCGCUCUAUUUCCUUGGACAGGGGUGGGGAAGAUAAUGCUUCAUUUGGAGACUGUGAAUUACCGUUUAAGUGCACUUAUAAAUGAGACCAGCAACAUAACUAGAAGCAUACAGCAACAGUUGACUGCUUUACGGCUAAUGACACUGCAAAAUUGGGUGGUGCUAGACCUGUUGACGGCGGCGCAGGAGGGAGUGUGUCAUAUCGUGGGAGCCUCGUGUUGCACUUACAUACCAGCAAAUGAUGAGAAAGGCGGAGAAAUAGAUCAGGCUUUGCAGCACUUGAAAGACCUGUCGGAUGCACAACAAAACGACUACGUACUUGACGACUCCUGGUGGCAGUGGCUCAUUUCUGGGGAAUGGAAAGCAGCAAUAACAUCUGUACUGACCCUCAUAGUAACAGGAUUCGCAGUACUGUUCUUCUGUAGCUGCUGUGGGGUUCCCAUAAUUAAAGGAUUGAUAUCAGGAAUGUUAAGUGCUAACCCGCAAUUUCAGUUGUUUAUGUUACAGGACUUCAAUGAAGUAAUCGCUCCAUCUGACAUGUCGGAGAGAUCAUACCAAGAUGCGAUAGGACCAUUAAACGACCUGUUUCAACAAUAAAGUACCUGUGAAUCAAGCACAUGUCGAAAAUCGAGAGAAGUGGCAUGUUAGCGGAUAAUCAAUUAAAAAGAGAAGGGAAAUGUUGUUGAAAUUAUAUAUUCAUGUGAUUAUUUCAUUAUUAAUUACUUAUCAUAUUAUUAAUUGCUUAUCCUUUACUAAUUUCUUAUACUAUUAUUGGUUGCUUAUGCUGGAAUGAUCCAGAGUAUGCACACUUAUUAAAGUAUCAUAACUUGCCUUGUGCUACUCAAUAUUAUAUUCUGUAACUGUGUGAGUGGAGAUGUCUCCCUGUCUGUACCAUGGGCCUCCAAGGCCACGGCCAUUAACUGUGUGUUCUGGAUUAUCUUGUCUUGGUGCCUAAGAGCCUGCAGAACCAAAAACAUAAUACCUCAUGACGGAAGCUACCAUGGGGAUUAUCUUCCUAGAAACAGGGAGUUAAAACAAGAUAAGAGAUUAUUCUCAGACACGCAAGUUAAAUGCACAGGCCCCUGCGUAUACGUCAUGCUGGAAUGUUUUGAGAACAUGCAUCUGCAUGACGUACCUUGAAGGGGGAGAUAUGAAUAAACAAUCUACAGUAAGGAGAAGAGCGGUGGAUUGUCUUUGAAUAUUGAUUAUCAGAAAUAUGAAUGAAUACUAAUGAAGGGGCGUACAUUUGUUGCGCUCUGUGCCUACAUAUAUCCAGACAAAGGUCCUGGAACCUUUGUCCUUGUUUUUGCAUGUAACUUGGACCCUAUGCGCAUAGUAAAGAUUGGAUUUUAUUUACUG